ACAAACUCCCUUGCAGCAGUCGACAAUUUUCUAGAUGGAAGAAAGAGAUAUCACUGAUGCUACGGGAAAACUAAUAACCUUUGAUUUCA